rnacentral:rRNA from 1 species
CAGUAGCCGCGGGAAUACAGAGGGUGCGAGCGUUAAUCGGAUUUACUGGGCGUAAAGCGUGCGUAGGCGGCUUCUUAAGUCGGAUGUGAAAUCCCUGAGCUUAACUUAGGAAUUGCAUUCGAUACUGGGAAGCUAGAGUAUGGGAGAGGAUGGUAGAAUUCCAGGUGUAGCGGUGAAAUGCGUAGAGAUCUGGAGGAAUACCGAUGGCGAAGGCAGCCAUCUGGCCUAAUACUGACGCUGAGGUACGAAAGCAUGGGGAGCAAACAGGAUUAGAUACCCGAGUAGUCUUGUCUCUUAUACA